rnacentral:rRNA from 1 species
UACGUAGGUGGCAAGCGUUAUCCGGAAUUACUGGGCGUAAAGCGCACGCAGGCGGUCUGUUAAGUUUGACGUGAAAGCUCCCGGCUUAACUGGGAGAGGUCGUUGAAGACUGGCAGACUUGAGGCGAUGAGAGGGGUGUAGAAUUCCCGGUGUAGAGGUGAAAUUCGUAGAUAUCGGGAGGAACACCGGUGGCGAAGGCGGCGAUCUGGGUCGAUACUGACGCUGAGGUGCGAAAGCGUGGGGAGCGAACAGG